UCAUAGUUAAGACUGGAAGAAACAACACUGUGAUCACAUGAAGUUUAGGGGGGAAAAAAAAAGACAAUAAACCAGCCAGUGGAAUGCCAGCAAAUGAUUGAGGUUUGCUGUAACAGCAUCAACACUGGAAAACAAGAGGGGACUGAGAGGAAGAUACCUAGAAUUUAUAAGGAGCUUUUUUCCACCCUUGUCAUCAUGAUCAUCUUAUUGUGCAACUCGUGGAACAAAAGGAUGAAACAGUCAUAAUUUUCAUAAUUUCCAUCUCCUAGAAUAAUCAGGAAGAAGAAGCAUCUUUAAUAUUCCUUUCAUCCUUCGGAAGUAAUUGGAUUUUGGAAGGCAUCUCUUGAGGUCAUCAAACCCAACCCACAAAGCAGGGUCAGGGCACCACUGGUAACCACCCUCCAGCAGAAGGUUCUGAAGGCUGAUCACAACCCUUUAAGCACUGCAGCUCAGACAGCUUUCAGUCUACCUCUCUGACCACAUAUCUAGGCCAUCCUUCAUCAGUUUGCCAGUGAGGAUGUUACAGAAUAGUGUGUCAAAAGCAUUGGCAAAAUAAAGAACAACAGUAUCAUCUGCUCUUCUCUCAUCCAUCAACAGAGUGGUUUCCUCAUAGAAGGCUAUCAGGUUAGUCAGGCACCAUUUUGCUCUCAUGAAUUAAUGCUGACUACUCUGAAGAAUAAAAAAAAGGAAAGUUCUGCUUUGACAGUCUUAUGGAUAUCCACCAGACAAGAGCUGUGAGGGCAGCUGUAACAAUGAGACAAAGCAAUACAAUAGGAAAGGCGCUACAACAGAGACACAAUAACAAAAGAACCAGCACAAAAUAAAGGUUCUAUAAAGGAAGGCAAGAAGAUUGCUCACUUGUAUCAGAAGAUUUCAUGUUUGCAGAGGAAAGCUUCACCAAGGAGGGAUCUCCAGAAAAAGACCCUUUGAUUUUCUGAGGAUUUUGAAGGGCGUGAGAUUCCACAUUCUCUUUUUAAAACAUAAUUACUGCUACAUGGUAAAUUUACCUAUGAGUUACCAACUACCAUGCUCUCAAAUUCUAAUGCUAUAAGCUUUGGAAAUAUAGUGUGCAUCGAAAGGAAUGAAGAAGAAACUGACCUUACUGUUUGUUAGGAAGAAGUCUCCUCUUGGGAGGGUGCAGUUGGUACCUCCAUUAUUACUUGCUAGCUGGUGAGACCAGCAGCCAGCAUUUGGUAAUGAGCUGAAAUAGACUCUCAGCUUGUGAGAAAAGCAGAAAUAUGACUUGCUCAAACACACACAAAAACAAACAAACAAAACAAACCAACCAAGUUUUAGUGGUAACCACCACAGGUGCAAUAAGUUAGGCUUGGAAAUAGCUCCUCUGCCAGGUGCUCUGAUGUACCAA